rnacentral:lncRNA from 1 species
CUUCGGGUACCGCUGCCCCGGGAGACCCCCGGCGGCCCGGCCCUGCGGGGACCGGGCGGGAUGGGGACCGGGGCAGUGGACCCUCGGAGUUGGGAUGGGGCGGGGGGAACGCGGGCGUGGAGCCCUCCGGGGACAGGCCAGCGCCCUGCUCCCCGGUCCUCAACCACCACCUUCCACCUGCCUGGGCCUUCAUCGCCUCCGAGCUCCCCUUCCACACCAAACCUGGCGUCCGUUUUCCUCCAGGCCUGCACCAGCACAGCUGAAGGGGAGAGAGACCCAACCUCAUCCACUGGGCCUCCCCUCAACCAGGGCCACAACCUCAAGGGGCCAUGCCACCUCCAACACCUAUUUCCCACCUUCUACUCUCUCCACACCCUGGGACACCACCCGCCUCUCUCAGCUGACGUUUUCCUUCUUGUUUUGUGUGCAUGGUGCUUGUGUGAGAAAGUGGACACACAGUAAGUGCGGCUUCCAGAUGCGUCCGCCACCUGCCCUCCGUGCCACGCGCUUCCCCCUACCUAGGGGAGCCUCCACCAGACAGGGAACCCACGCCUUGCCACCCUUCUCUCUCCCUCCCACUUCACCUGUCCGCAUCAUUUCUGGAGCCCUUUCUUUCUGGCACGAGAUGCUCCAGGGCCCUGUUGUAUUCUCCCUGCCCCAGCCUGAACCCAGCUAUUUCUGCUGCAGCCUGGUUCAUUGUGGGAGAAUGUCAUGCAGAGCCCGGGAUCUGGCUCCGGAUGUGCUCAUUGCUACUGGGGUGUCAUUGCAGCUGGCGGAGCAAGGGAACACAUCUAUGUACAUGCCCACACGCAUAUGUAUACACACAGUUUCAUGGG